GCUUAGUGUUUCUACAAUCAAGAUGAACAAUUAAGGGGAAAGCAGGUUGCCUUGCUUCAGUCCUCUCUUGCUGUAGAAUGACUUCCCCAUUUCACCAUUGAUGAUGAGUGAGGAGGUGUUGGUCUGAAUCACUGAGAGUAUCCAUCACCACCAUUUAGGGCCAAAGUCUCUUCUUUCCUACAACUAAUUGAGAAAUUGCCAAGAUAUCCUAUCAAGAGUCUUUUCAAAAUCGAUUUUGCAUAGAAUUCCCCUCACUUUGGUC
rnacentral:lncRNA from 1 species